rnacentral:rRNA from 1 species
CCUACGGGGGGCAGCAGUGAGGAAUAUUGGUCAAUGGGCGCAAGCCUGAACCAGCCAAGCCGCGUGAAGGAUGACUGCCCUACGGGUUGUAAACUUCUUUUGUCAAGGAAUAAAGUGAGGCUCGUGUGCCUUUUUGUCUGUACUUUAUGAAUAAGGAUCGGCUAACUCCGUGCCAGCAGCCGCGGUAAUACGGAGGAGCCGAGCGUUAUCCGGAUUUAUUGGGUUUAAAGGGUGCGUAGCGGGGUCGUUAAGUCAGUUGUGAAAUGUUGCGGCUCAACCGUAGAAUUGCAUUUGAUACUGGCAGUCUUGAGUAGAGUAGAGGUAGGCGGAAUUCGCGGUGUAGCGGUGAAAUGCUUAGAUAUCACGAAGAACUCCGAUUGCGAAGGCAGCUUACUAA